AUUUCUCUUCCUCAAAUUCAAUUUCCCUAACCCCCCGUCUCCACACAGCUCUCCCCUCCCCCGUCUGAAAUCAGUGGCCGCGAUUCGCGUCACCGCCGCUGCAGGCGUCGUCACUCCAUCUCCACACCAGACUCCCCCUUCGGCCCUUCCCUGCCCCUAUUCGCCGGCGGCGUGGCCACAGUCCAGCCCCAAGUUGCGCCGCCGCCCCUUCCUCCUAUCGUUUCCGUCUCCACACAGCUCUCCCCUCCCCCGUCUGAAAUCAGCGGCACCAACUGCACUCGGAUUCCAGUCGCCACCGCCGCCUUCACCGCGCCGGCCACCUCCCUGCCCCCGCAAGCCCUCCCAUCUGCAUCGCCGCCUCUUUCUUUCUUCAAUCGGCGGCUCCACCGCCCACCGCUCUCUCCGCCGCUCCCGCAGCCUCAGCCGCUUCUCCCGUCCCAAUGCGCCGGAGCCGGAGGCCGAGAUGGACUACAUCAAAAACGUGCCCAGGGGAAAAUUCGUCAACACCACGAGGGGCUCGACCUCGCUGGCACCAACCGAAUCGCCGAGCCCCUAGAUCCCCAAAGUCUCACCGCCUCUUUGUGAUUUCCGGCGAACACGGCAGCCAUGUCCGCCGAUCUGCCACCUCCCUUCCCCCAUAUGAUUUUUUGUUUAGAGGAUUAAGGGAUUGCUUACUUCCCUGUUUUGGCUGGUGGCGGCUGGAAAUUUUUUAGACAUUAUAUGACCAAGGCUGAAAGGAUUCUUGGGUACUUACCAAGAUAAAAAGUUUCUUCUUCAAGUCCAUAAUAGUUUUUGACUGAUAUAUACUCAUUUGAAUCUGUUAAAAAGAUACUGGAAUUAAAGCUGAACAUAUUAACAUUUUUGGAUGCAUGGUAUACUUGUAAAUCUGUUAGUGACUGAUGCUCAUUUCUUUUGUUAGAUUUGUCAGAUUUUAAGCCAUUUUACUGCACCCCAAUUCCAAUUCCAUCUACAUGAGUUUUGAUAUAUAUAUAUAUAUAUAUAUAUAUUAAAAAAAAAAACAACUGAUAGAAUAUUUAAAUUUUGAUAUUGAAAUUCUUUUACUGUAGUACUUUUAUAUAAAUUUUAAGUUUGAUGUCAACAAAACUAUUUCAUACUAAGAGUGCCGAAUUCUUUCUUAAGUUUGCUAUGAUCAAGUUUGAAAAGGUAAACUUAAUAUGCGAUGCAUUAUUUAAUUAAAUGACAUUAAUUUUUUUUUUCGUCUUUUGGAUAGAUUUGCAGCUGACAGAUGACCAAUUAAAAAACCUUGCUUUAGCUGAAAUUGAAAAGUUGCUUGUGGCUAACUCUACCAGUCUCAUUAACUUUCCUAAUAUGCCAUUACCAAACGAGAUUGUUAUAUCUUCUACUUUAAACUUGCUCAUCUUGGAAGAGACGUCUUAUAACAUUGAAGAAAUGAAUGUUGAGCAUCAAAAGCUAUAUCACUUUCUAACGGAUGAGCAAAAGACUGUUUAUGAUAAGAUCAUGACUGCAGUUGAUAGUGGUGAGGGAGGACUUUUCUUUCUGUAUGGAUACGGCGGUACAGGAAAGACAUAUAUCUGGAGGACCUUAUGCUCGAGCUUACGUGGAAAAGGCUAUAUCGUACUGCCUGUAGCCUCGAGUGGAAUAGCUUCAUUAUUACUCCCUAAAGGCAGAACUGCGCACUCGAGAUUUGGUAUACCGUUAGAUUGUGAUGAGAACUCCACAUGCCACAAGAUUAAGCCAGACAGCGAUCUCACUGGACUUCUCAAGAAGACAAAACUCAUUAUUUGGGAUGAGGCACCUAUGACGCACAGAUACUGCUUUGAAGCGCUGGAUAGGAGUGUAAACACAAAUUUUAUUGUAUUCAAUUUAAUGAAAUACAAAAAUGUGUACAAAUCCAAAAUAUAUGGAUUGAGAUGAAUUUGUUGCGGGUUGCGAAUCUCCACUUGAUCCUCUGAUUAUCCUCUUCAAAUGUUACUUGAAAUAUUUGGAGGGAAGUACGCCUUCUUGAUCUCCUUGGAUUUGA